UACAGAGGGUGCAAGCGUUGUUCGGAAUUAUUGGCGUAAAGCGCGUGUAGGCGGCUUUGCAAGUCGGGUGUGAAAGCCCUCAGCUCAACUGAGGAAGUGCGCCCGAAACUGCAGAGCUUGAGUACCGGAGAGGAUGGUGGAAUUCCCCAAGUAGAGGUGAAAUUCGUAGAUAUGGGGAGGAACACCGGUGGCGAAGGCGACCAUCUGGACGGAUACUGACGCUGAGACGCGAAAGCGUGGGUAGCAAACAGG
rnacentral:rRNA from 1 species